rnacentral:other from 1 species
AAUUCCCUGGGGUGGCAUCUUGUUAAUAUCACCCUGAGCCGAUACUUUUAGACAUUGGUGUCUUCCUGUAGGUAGUGUGCAGGCCCGGAUUGCCCGCGGAAGCCUAAACCUGCAUCUGAUGCCAAACUUGAACAUACUGGUUCAAGGAGUCUUAUAUAACGGAUCCAUUCCUGGGGCCUCA